GCUCGCUGGCCAUUCUAUUUCUGCCAAUUCUCCGCCCAGCGCCCAGCGCGAACUCCAGCAGCGGAGGGAGCUAGAACUAGGAGAAGGAGAGUCCAGGGAGAACCCAUGGCCGGCAGGAGCUUCUUGAUCCGGUCUCCCAAGGAGGAGUCCGACGCCGCCAAUCUCGUGCGGAAGGGAGCUCGCACUGAGGGCCGUGCAAAUCUAGGUGUCCCAGGUUGGGCGGGUGGUUGGGGCCAGGCUCUGGGGCUCCGGGGAUCAUCGUGGAGCCAAAGAUGGCUUUUUGGUUCGGUUUCGAUCCCCAUUCUCCCCCGAGGGGAUACCGUUCUAUUCCCCUUUGUCUUGACGGCCUUGAGUCAGCGGGUAUCUGGAGAUGGCUUCGAUUAUUAUUACUACUACAUUUGCACUCACAUAGUCACAUGACGUCUCUUGAUCUGCAGUUCCUUGUGAAUCAAUAUAUUCAGUGUUCUCUUCCCUGGAGGCAUUAUUUUCUGAUGUCUUAGCAGACCCAGUUGGUGAAGCUACUAGGCAGUGGCACGCUGUUUUCUGAAUGAAUAAAGUGGCAGAGUGGGAGCUUUUAUUGGCCUUACGGAAUUAUGAUCUGAGUUUCAGGUUGUGCAUUUUUUUUUGCUGCAAUGCUAAUUUCUAGAGUGUUCCUGUUACAGAGGCUGUACUACUGGGAGCGAAGAAUGCUGCAAUUGCUGGUUCUGUGGUAGCAGUUCCCACGUUGGUCGGCUGCCGUGUCCUUCCUUGGGCUAAGGCUAAUCUCAACUACACCGCACAAGCACUCAUCAUAUCUGCAGCCUGUAUCGCUGGCUUCUUCAUCACUGCCGAUAAAACCAUUCUCCGGAACGCAAGACAAAACACCAUCGGGAAGCUUGAGAAGUAGACUUUGCAGAUAUAUGGCUGAAAUGGCUCGCCGAUUUUGGUGUUUCGCUACUCCAGCCAGUUGUGCUGUAAAGACUUACCUGACGGACUCAACCGGUGCAUCCAGUUUUCCCCCAAUUUAAUUUGGAAUAAAAUAUGGGGCUAAUGGGUAUACGCCUGUGUAAUGUGGAAUACGAGACCUGCUUCUUUGUCACUUGUCAGGGGUUGUAAGACUGUUGAGUAAAAUGCUAGUAUAUGGUAUUGGUUUUUUUCCCAUCACGGGCGAACCUGAAAUUUCAUUACUAGAAGCAACCAAAUUAUAGGAUGAUUCAGCAAGGGGCGCAUAGUAUAUGCUAUUGAUGAGCAAUGCAAUGCAACUAUUUCAGUGACAUACAUAUAUCUUCAUCAAGCA